CCUGGACCAGCCUAGACCGCCGCGCCGGCCUCCCGCCGGGCAAGCCACCCGCUGGGAAUUUCCCGGCACUCGCCCAGGCCGUGGUGGUUUCAGCGCCUGGGGAUAAACUGGUAGUGGGCUCGCGAGACAAGGUUUCAUCAUGAUGCCCAGGCUGGUCUCGAACUCGAGCUCAAGCAAACUUCCUGCAUUGACUUCCCAAAGUGCUGGGAUUACAGGCAUGAGUCACCGAUAUGUCUUUCAAUGGUCAUUAUACAGCCUAUCACAAUGAAGGAGAAGGAUUAACAUUUUAUUUUAAGGCCUGGAGAGUUUUAAGCAGCACAAAAGAAAAUUUAGAUCUUCGACGACCACACACGGGGAGAGACCCUGCGACACAGGGGACGUACGUUUUACAGUCCGAAGUCAAAUGAAUAUCGGGAAGAAAAUGACAGGAUGUGGUCGUGCGAGCUUGAACUAUCAACUCUAGGGGAGGCUGAGGCGGGUGGAUCGCAGGAAUUCAAAGGCUGCAAUGAGCUAUGAUGGCGCCACUGCAUUCUAGCCUGGGCGACAGAGCGAGAUUCUUUUUUUAAAAAAGAAAAUGUCUGCUAAUAAGAAAAUGCUCGUUUUGUAAAAAUUAAAAAAAACAAGGUUCCGUUUUAACCGGUCUGCGAUUGUGAUAUGGAAAAGAAUUACAGCAUUGUCAGAAGUGGGAUUCGAACCCACGCCUCCAGGGGAGACUGCGACCUGAACGCAGCGCCUUAGACCGCUCGGCCAUCCUGACUGCUUGAAGAAAGCUUUCCUACAAGCCUCUACACAAGUUCUGUAGUGUGCGCAUGCGUAGCAAGCCGCAAAGACUCAGGCCUUAUUCUCGAAUGGCUUUGACUGGAGCGAAUUACACUCGCUUGCUUCAAUGGGGCGUGGCAAGAUGGAACGAGGAGGAUCAGCGCGAUGCACCUAGGCGACGCCAGAGGGUGCGCAAGGCCUACUAGAGAAGGCCGAGACCGCGGUCUGUCACUUUAACACACGUGCAUUUGAGCCUCCAGCAUGUAUUCAUUCUGCAUGCAUAUAUGUACUAUUCAUGUCAGCUUUGAUUCCUGAAAUCUGCAAGCAACCUUACAUUUCCCUUGUGCACGAUGCAAUCAAGUCCGCAUACCUGCACUGAUCUGUAGACAUCUCCGUGAGCUGGCGCCCAAUCUAGGUAAAGCCCGGUUAUUGCAAGGCCGCCUGACACUCUUAACCGCGCUCUCCUUCCUCUCGCCCCAACUGCAGCUUCACAUUUGUAUGUGUGUUUAACUCAUUUACCCAGGCUCCGGGGUAGAAUGAGCCCUGCGGCGGCACGCACUAUUCCUAUGUCCCAGUGCCCGAACCGUGCCCGGCACACAGUAGGUGCGCAGGGAAGAUCCCGAGGAUUCAGUUCUUCUCUGGCUUCCUCCUUCCUGCAUCCCCUCGUUUCGUGACUCAUCUCUCUUUUCCUGGCCCCCGCGGCAUCUUCCUCUCUUCCCUUUCGCCCCCUCUAGGCUUAGGCACGCUGCCCGCAGGCUGUUUCCAGGGACCAGAAGACCUCGGUACUGAGAGGGUGCCCUUCUCCAAGGGAUUUCUAGGAUCUUAGGGGCCUGGGCCACUGACCUGGUGUGUAACAAUUACACAUUAAUUAUUGAAUUCCCUCCUUAAUAACUCAUGAUUCUACAAUGAAAGCUGCUGCCCCUCUCUGUACACAGGCACUGAAAGAGAGGGUCCGAGACUCUCCGACAUCUGUGAACCCACUCUGGAGUCCAGGGAUCAGGCCCAGAAGGUGUGAACAGUGGGGUCACAUUAACCCCUUAGUGUCGUUGGACUUGUCUGAGAUGGUAUCACGGAGUGGCCUCAGCAGGAGAACAGCAGCCCUUACCACCCUUGGGUCAGAUUCCCUUUAAAUGCUUGGAGCUUGGGAUGGAGCCCCUUGGGGUGGGCAGAGGUCCUGGUUAUUUGAAAGAUGAUGAAACCCUCUUCUUUCCCUGUCCCAGAUGUCCUCUUCUCAUUGACUGACAGAAUUCUUUCCUUUAGGUUUAGCACUUAAACCCCCCCCUUUUUUUUUUGAGACAGAAUCUCGCUCUGUCACCUGCAGUGGUGUGAUCUCCGCUCACUGCAACCUCUGCCUCCUGGGCUCAAGCAAUUCUCCUGCUUCAGCCUCCUGAGUAGCUGGAAUUACAGGCACACACUACCAGGCCCAGCUAAUUUUUGUAUUUUUAGUAGUGACGGGGUUUCACCAUGUUGCCUAGGUUGGUCUCGAUCUCUUGACAUUGUGAUCUGCCCACCUCAGUCUCCCAAAGUCCUGGGAUUACAGGUGUGAACCACCAUGCCUAGCCUUGUGUCCUCUUCUAAAAUACAAAUUGCCCUGGAAGCUGGAAAGAAAGUCAACAAACAUUUAUUAAGCACUUGCUAUGUGCCAUUCUUCUGUAUGCUGUGAACAAAACAGAAUUUUACUCUCAAGAUACAUUCAUACAUGCAUCGAAGUAAGAAGGAUAAGAACCAAAUGAACAAACACAUUCAGGUGUUGGUAAGUGCUGGGUAGAGAACGCAUCAGGAAACUCGAGAGACUUUGAAACAGGCAAUAAAGAUAACUGGAUGUUCCGCCGGGAUCACCCAUCCAGCUAUCUAAUCCUUUAAGGGCUUGCACCUUUCAUUAUUCUUAUGUCCAAAUAAUUCUUGUCCACAGAAAUACAGGUGAAUUUUGAUAGGGUGGAAUGCAAUUGAUCAUUGCCCUGUGGAUAUUGACCAAUUUUGCAAUUUACUUAUAAAUUCAUUUCAGCACUCCUGAUUGCCAAUAUAUGUGUGUCUUUGAAUUCUCUUUUGAAUUGGUUAUAACAUUGUACAGGUCCCUCUAUUAAUUAAUGACUAAAAUAAAACCUUUGACAUGUGUUCAUUUUAUAUGAGAAUUAUGAUUUUAUCUUAAAA